ACGCUGGCGGCGUGCCUAAUACAUGCAAGUCGAACGGUCUUUCUAUGGAAGCUUGCUUCCACUGAGAAGAUAGUGGCGAACGGGUGAGUAACACGUGGGUAACCUGCCCAUAAGAGGGGGAUAACAUCCGGAAACGGGUGCUAAUACCGCAUAGUUUUCUUGAUCGCAUGAUUGAGAAAGGAAAGACGGCCUUUGUGCUGUCGCUUAUGGAUGGACCCGCGGCGUAUUAGUUAGUUGGUGAGGUAAUGGCUCACCAAGACGAUGAUACGUAGCCGACCUGAGAGGGUGAUCGGCCACAUUGGGACUGAGACACGGCCCAAACUCCUACGGGAGGCAGCAGUAGGGAAUCUUCCGCAAUGGACGAAAGUCUGACGGAGCAACGCCGCGUGAGUGAAGAAAGGUUUUCGGAUCGUAAAACUCUGUUGUCAGAGAAGAACAAGUUGGAGAGUAACUGCUCCAGCCUUGACGGUAUCUGACCAGAAAGCCACGGCUAACUACGUGCCAGCCGCAGC
rnacentral:rRNA from 1 species